rnacentral:lncRNA from 1 species
CCGAAUUAUUCUGAACUAUUUUACAAAAAGUCUUUAAAUUAUAACGUCAAUAUUUAUCUGUAGGCUUUUUUCUUCAUUUCAUUAUAGACGCCUAGAAAUCAGGCAAGUUCUGGCAAGAAGAAGAAAGUUCGCAUAGAACUAUCCAAGAAUACAAGCCACUCGACUCGAGGUAUAGUACUUUUCUCUUGAAAUUUUUGACUCCGAACGCUAUAACCUGGUGCUGGUGCAAAGUUUCAUGAAAGGAUUCAAAGCUUUGCAGUAUCGUAAUAACUAGCAAAAAUUUAAACGAGUCGGUCAUAUAUAAUCAUAUAAUAACUCGCCUCGGUGGCUCGUGAGCCACUUUUUUGUUCUUCCCAUAUUAUGACGUCAUACUGUGUAUCUAUAACUGAACAGACAACGGCAAAAUCUUAUCUAUUUCUUAACUAGGUAGAAGGUGUAACCUUCCAGCGUUUUCGUAAUCAAUUUCUCCAUUUAAACGAAUAUAACUGGAACGCUACCCUCCAACCGGAAAUUUGAAGCCAAACUUUAAGGCCAGUCCCAGUCUUUUCACGCAUGCGAGGAGUCCUCAAUCAGUCAAUCAUGAUGUAAACACGCGGGUCAAGAUUUGGCUUCGAGAAAAAGAUAGGCAGUUUAUUUGAGGGUAGAGUUCCAGUUAUAUUCAUUUCAAUGCCUUUCUCACACCAUGCGACCAGGCCUUGUCCGCCGUUUUUGAGUGGCAAACUGAACGGGGAAAGUGGAUUGCAAUGAAAACACAGCACUAUUUUGUUUAUAUAAGUACUACAUUUACUUUACUAAAUCACUCUUUCGUUUGUUGCCAUCUACUUCCCCGUGCGGUUUUACCUCCUCCGGACAAGGCCUGCUCGCGCAGCGUACGAAAGUGUAAUUACGCCAAAUAGUUUCCAAGUAGGUGAACUGAUGUGAAGCGUUCCUCUUUUCAGUUAGAAAGUCAUUUAGAAUUUUCUAAUUACCUUCGCAAAUCCCAUGAGGGAAUUUACAAUAUUUUUUUAUAAUCAAAAUUUAUAUACAUAACGUAUUGCUUUGCAUGCAUAUAUAAAAUAGUUGAAUCAAAAUCCUAUUUAACAAAUCCUUAUUUCCAGGCUGCCAAUUUUCCUGGCGACAAGUAACUGUAUGAUUGGUACUGCUGCGUCUAAUUUUGGACUAUAUAAAUAUUUUUUGAAAGUUCCCGUUUGACCAAUUCCCAUAGUUUUUAACAACGAUUCACAUUGCAUAAUUUAAUUGGCUUAUAGGAACAUUUCAAAUUCCCUCGAGGGAUUUGCAAAGAGUUUUCAAAAUUGCAAAGGUAAUUAGGAAAAUUCCAAAUGAGUUAGAACCUCAAAAGAGGAACGCUUCACGUAUUCACGUAGUUCACCUGCAUGUAAUAGGUUUAUAUUCUUCAUCGCUAUUUCCUGAUGUACUCCCCUUCCAUAUAUUCAACUCCUAACUAAUCUUCACAUAUGAUACAUUUUGCAAGUAAAAACGUAUAGACACAAAUGAGAUGAGGUAGUCGCGCAUUCCCCCUUGUAAAUGGUUACAUUACCAGCUCAAUGACAAAUCCUCAAUAUACUAUAAAUAUAAUAAACUCUGCAGAUUACAGACAAAUUCUCAAGUGUAGUCCUGUUGUUCCAUUUGAUGCAAACAAGAAACCAGUUCAAAGUUCCUUGAAAACCCCACCAACAUCAGCAAGUAAGCCAACUAUACUGCAAGCUCACCACAACCACGGAAGCGACCUGCUGCAGUGGACUUCUUUUAACAGUAUUAAAGAAUCUUUGUAAAGAUUUUUAUCGUAUAACUAAAUAUUCAUGUUCUAAUAUUCAUAUCCUGUUUUAACAUUGCAUGACAAAUAUAUAUUGCUAUAUCCUAAUCCCUAAAGCGUUUUUUACGCGUGUCUUCAGC